UAUAAUUUAGUAUAAAAUGUACAUAGAUUUUUGAAAUCUAAAGUAGUAGUUAGGGCUAUUAAUUAUAA
rnacentral:tRNA from 1 species